rnacentral:rRNA from 1 species
UGCUUAUCUAACUUGCCAAUUAGUGGGGGAUAACUAUGGGAAACCAUGGCUAAUACCGCAUUUGUUGCUUUGGCAAUGAAAGGAGGUCGCAAGACUUUCGCUAAUUGAUAGGGAUAAGUCGCAUCAGUUAGUUGGUGGGGUAAUGGCCUACCAAGACUAUGACGCGUAGCCAGGCUGAGAGGCUGAUUGGCCACAAGGAACUGAGACACGGUCCUACUCCCAAGGGAGGCAGCAGUGAGGAAUUUUCCGCAAUGGGGGCAACCCUGACGGAGCAAUACUACGUGAAGGAGGAAGGUCUACGGAUUGUAAACUUCUGUUAGUGCAGAAGAAGGGCUGAAUGCAAGUUCAGUUUUGACAGUAUGCACAGAGAAAGCCACGACUAACUACGUGCCAGCAGUCGCGGUAAGACGUAGGUGGCGAACGUUAUCCGGAAUUAUUGGGCGUAAAGGGUGCGUAGACGGCAUGAUAAGUUAUUGGCGGGAAAUCGAGGCUCAACCUCGUGGAAACUGAUAAUACUGUUUUGCUUGAGUACAGGAGAGGUUAACGGAACUCCAUGUGGAGCGGUAAAAUGUGUAGAUAUAUGGAAGAACAUCAAUAACGGCGAAGGCAGUUAACUAUUCUGUUACUGACGUUGAGGCACGAAAGCGUGGGGAGCAAAACGGAUUAGAUACCCGUGUAGUCCACGCCCUAAACGAUGAGUGCUAGAUAUUGGGAACUUGAUUCUCAGUGUCGCUAGUUAACACGGUAAGCACUCCGCCUGGGUAGUACGCUCGCAAGAGUGAAACUCAAAGGAAUUGACGGGGACUCGCACAAGCAGUGGAGCAUGUGGUUUAAUCCGAUACGACGCGUAGAACCUUACCAAGGCUUGACAUGUUGGGCAAAGCUAGGGAAACCUAGUGGAGGUUAUCCUAACACAGGUGCUGCAUGGCCGUCGUCAGUUCGUGCCGUGAGGUGUAUGGUUAAGUCCUAUAACGAACGUAACCCUUGGACUUAGUUGCCAGCAUUUAGUUGGGGACUCUAAGUCGACUGCCUGAGCAAUCAGGAGGAAGGAAAGGAUCAAGUCUGGUCGUC